UACGUAGAAGACAAGUGUUAUUCAUAUUUAAUCGGUUUAAAGGGUACCUAGACAGAAAACAAAGCCAAUAUAGGUACUAGUUUUCUAGAGUUUUAUGUGUGAAUAGCGAAUUAUCAGAGAAGGGUCGAAAUCUUUUUAUCCUGGUAGGACGGGUAACGGCAAAUGUUCUAUUCUAUGUAAAAACUGACGUUGAGGGACGAAGCCUUGGGUAGCGAUUAGGAUUAGUACGUACCCGGUC
rnacentral:rRNA from 1 species